UAGUUGGAAGAUGACGAUGACGGGCAAUACGGCGAAUUUCAGGAAUAUGCUUAUAGCGCUCUCGCAAUGAGUCAAGAUAUUUGAGGCGAUUCUCCUCACGAGUAGAGCGAAUUGACGCACGGGAAGAAGCACGAGCUCUCCAAAGACGAACAUUACUAUCAUCGGAACCAGAGAAUAUGUAUUGUGCAUCCAUUGAAAAUUUAACUGCAGUAACUCGCUGCAUACGUUUUGUAUGAUAAACAUCACGACUAUGACCCUCCCGAACAUUGUAAAUUCGAAUCGUUUUGUCAUAAGAACCACUAACAAACUCUUGACCUGUCGGUGAAAAAUCUACUGACAUAACGGCAGAAACGUGAUCCUUAUAAACGUGUAAUGCCCGCUUUAAAUUUCGCAUAUCGUACAUAUACAAAUUGUGAUCCUCACUGCCAGCUACAAAAUUAAAUGCCUCCAUUGGAUUCCAAGAAAUUGAAUUAGUUCUCAAUUUGGUAAUCAAUUUGGUUAACGGUGAUGAUGUACGGAGAUCGUAAAUUACGAUUGAUCGAUCCAUACCAGCUGAAGCCAAAACCGAUGUUUCCGUAUA